UACGAAGGGGGCGAGCGUUGUUCGGAUUUACUGGGCGUAAAGGGCGCGUAGGCGGCGCAACAAGUCACUUGUGAAAUCUCCGGGCUUAACCCGGAGCGGCCAAGUGAUACUGUCGUGCUAGAGUGCGGAAGGGGCUACUGGAAUUCUCGGUGUAGCGGUGAAAUGCGUAGAUAUCGAGAGGAACACCUGCGGCGAAGGCGGGUAGCUGGGCCGACACUGACGCUGAGGCGCGAAAGCCAGGGGAGCGAACGGG
rnacentral:rRNA from 1 species